UACGUAGGGUCCGAGCGUUGUCCGGAAUUAUUGGGCGUAAAGAGCUCGUAGGCGGUUUGUCGCGUCUGCUGUGAAAUCCCGAGGCUCAACCUCGGGCCUGUAGUGGGUACGGGCAGACUGGAGUGCGGUAGGGGAGAAUGGAAUUCCUGGUGUAGCGGUGGAAUGCGCAGAUAUCAGGAGGAACACCGAUGGCGAAGGCAGUUCUCUGGGCCGUAACUGACGCUGAGGAGCGAAAGCGUGGGGAGCGAACAGG
rnacentral:rRNA from 1 species